AAGAAAUUAGUUAAACUAUAAUAUAGGUUUGUCAAAUCUAAGUGAUCUUCUAAGAUAUUUCUUA
rnacentral:tRNA from 1 species